CCCUUAGAUGUCCGGGGCCGCACGCGCGCUACAAUGGAUGAAUCAACGCGUCAUCCUGGCCCGAAAGGGUUGGGGAACCGCUGAACCUCAUCCGUGGUUGGGAUUGGGGUUUGUAAUUAUUCCCCAUGAACUAGGAAUUCCCAGUAAGCGCGAGUCAUAAGCUCGCGUUGAUUACGUCCCUGCCCUUUGUACACACCGCCCGUCGCUACUACCGAUUGGAUGGUUUAGUGAGAUCCUCGGAUUGGUCACGGCACGGUGGCAACUCUGCGUCGGUGUGCCGAGAAGACGAUCAAACUUGAUCAUCUAGAGGAAGUAAAAGUCGUAACA
rnacentral:rRNA from 1 species